UCUUCACACACAGAGCUGCCUCUCGGUGUGCAGGACGUGGCCAGCAGAUCAGCAUUUCGUGCCUGCCCGCUGCUUCCCCCUUCUCUUCCCUCUCUCCCCAUCCCUCCCGCAGCGAGUGGUCAGCGUUCUCACCGCCCCGGCGUGUUGACAUGCCAGAAAUAUCUCUGCUUCACUGCCUGUGCUCUUGGAAGUAUUUUGCUGCUCUCUCACCUCUCCAUGAGAGAGACACAUUCAUCUGUCAGCUUAUCGGAGGAAUUUCCAACAAUCUGUGGCAAUGCUACAAGUCUCAAUCUUGCUGGCUGAUAGCUGUUGAAGCACACAGCGGCAUCCUCCCAGCACAGACGGGGAAUGGGAGAGGAUCCAAAUGGAUCAGCGAGGAUCCACGUUCUCCUGAUGAAUGCCUCAGCGGCUCAGCCGGUGGCAGAGGGGGUUAUCUGUCUUUCUCAACUUCAGGCUCUUGCCAAACUCGCAGGCAGCCCUGUGGAAGUGCUGUGUCCCACAAGAGCCAUGUAUUUUAAUAUGAUGUAGUUUUCUUUGCCCUGGAACCAGGAUCAGUUCUCCAUGCUGACAAUCCAUAAAAGACCUAAUGACCCAUCUGAGGAGCAUUAACCAGCGCUGUGGCCAUUCCAGGCACUGUUUGUUUGUUUUUUGCCCCCCUGCCUGGGAGCAUAAUUUCUGGAGAGGAUCUUUGGGGUCUAGGGGAAGCUGGAGAUGUCUUGCUACUGAAAUGAGCUUCAAGAAAAAUACUGGAAGGCAGAAAAAGAGAAGGAAAAUUAUUCACUUCUUCCUGCCCAGAAAAGAUUGUCUCCUGCACAGCAAAAUAUGUUCUUGUUAGCAUAAUGUUCUCAUCCAGCUCAGCCAACUGCAAUCUUGGAGAAUGCAUGGGAACUUCCAUAUAAUUAUCUUUAAUAAACUGGCCAAGAUAAAAGUAAUGAUAUCUUAAGACACAUAGAGCAUAAUAAAAUAUAUAUCUAUAUAAAAGCCUAUCUAUAUCUAUGAAAUGACAUGCUAAAAUUAGGAGAAAGAGGCAAUUUAUGUGUUUUAUGGCUUUGGCACCUCAGUAACAGAGAUCUUGGAUACAACUCUGUUAACCAGACCAAACUUUUUUAAAGAGCCCAUCUCUUUUAGCCUAAGUGGAGGGAAUUAGCUCCUGUUCCUGGUGAUUCCCUGUGAGCAGGGUAAUGGAUUAGACUCAGAUUCAGGUUGAAGGCUCUAAUCCCUGUGUUUUAAUGACUGUGCCUGCCACCAGCCACAGCACAGCCUUGUUCCAAACCCCAAAUCCAUGGAAACCCCCAGGAACGUCCAACACUUUCUGCAUCCAGUGCAACC